UUGGGUUAAGUCCCGCAACGAGCGCAACCCUUAUCCUUUGUUGCCAGCGGUCCGGCCGGGAACUCAAAGGAGACUGCCAGUGAUAAACUGGAGGAAGGUGGGGUGCCGUCGAGUCAUCAUGGCCCUUGGCCGACCAGGGCUGCACGCCUAGGUGGCUACAAUGGCGCAUACAAAGAGAAGCGACCUCGCGAGAGCAAGCGGACCUCAUAAAGUGCGUCGUAGUCCGGAUUGGAGUCUUUGCAACUCGACUCCAUGAAGUCGGAAUCGCUAGUUAAUCGUGGAUCAGAAUGCCACGGUGAAUACGUUCCCGGACAUUGUACACACCGUCCGUCACCCGUCAGGAGUGGGUUGCAAACUAAUUCCUGUUACCGUUAACCUUGCGGGAGUUACGCUUACCAACUUUGUUUAAUUUCAGUAAGGAU
rnacentral:rRNA from 1 species